AAUCAUGAAAUGGUAAAAAAAAAAACACAUUCUCAAUGUUCUGUUAUUAAAUGGAAUAGAUUAUUUUUAGUGUGUCUUUCUAUGUUGUGAUGUUACACUAUUGUUUCAGGUGAAACUUUUAAACCCUCUGCAUUUUUUUGCACCUGUCCUAGGUCAGGAAACUGAUGUUAAGUGGCUGUCGUUUGUGGUUCAUAAGUGUUUUUCUUUCUUCAUAUAGAUUAGUUUGAAUGGUUUUACACUUGUCAUUUUUGAAGCCUUUUAUAGUUUGCUGUUCGGUAUGAGCCAAAGCUCUGUGUUGAAGGCCGUACCUUGACCUAUAAUGGUUUACUUUUUAUAAAUUGUUAUUUGGAUUGAGAGUUGUCUCAUUGGCACUCAUACCACAUCUUCUUAUUUCUGUUGUCUUUUCUUCUGGCUUUGAAAAGAUAAAGAUUUGAUUCUGUCCUCAGGUUUUAUUGGUCACUGACUGGAUAAAACCAUUUCUGCUUCAUUGAUUUUUUUUUAAGGUUGUUUAAGGUCAAUAUGAAUCCCUUUAGUGGUUAAUACAAUUUUGACUAUAAAAUAUAUUUUUUUCAAUAGCUGCUAAAGCUCUGGUAACUAGAAUGCCUAUAUCCCUCACUUUACCUACAUGUACAAUGGAUGCUUGGAUACUAGGCCAUACACAACAAAAUGUAUGACAAAUGCUACACUUACACUUUUAUACACUGAUUAAUAAUUAACAAUGGCUUUUAAGCAUAUAACAGUAUUAUUGUGAAUAGAAUACCCUUUUUUUAAUAAUA
rnacentral:lncRNA from 1 species